rnacentral:snoRNA from 1 species
GCUGAGCGACGAUGCUGAUACAUGCACGCUUUGUCUGUUUGACUUCUGAGCGGG